rnacentral:rRNA from 1 species
GUUUGAUCCUGGCUCAGAACGAACGCUGGCGGCAUGCCUAACACAUGCAAGUCGAACGAAGUCUUCGGACUUAGUGGCGCACGGGUGCGUAACGCGUGGGAAUCUGCCCUUGGGUACGGAAUAACUCAGAGAAAUUUGUGCUAAUACCGUAUAAUGUCGUAAGACCAAAGAUUUAUCGCCCAAGGAUGAGCCCGCGUAAGAUUAGCUAGUUGGUAGGGUAAAAGCCUACCAAGGCGACGAUCUUUAGCUGGUCUGAGAGGAUGAUCAGCCACACUGGGACUGAGACACGGCCCAGACUCCUACGGGAGGCAGCAGUGGGGAAUAUUGGACAAUGGGCGAAAGCCUGAUCCAGCAAUGCCGCGUGAGUGAUGAAGGCCCUAGGGUUGUAAAGCUCUUUUACCCGGGAUGAUAAUGACAGUACCGGGAGAAUAAGCUCCGGCUAACUCCGUG